AUGAGGAAGCUCCAGGGCAGGAUGGUUUACCUGCCUGGACAGCAAGAUGAUGGCUACACUAGCCCCCAUUCUCUGGGCGCCUGGAUUUGCCCACCAGAUCUCCUCACCUCUUGCCCUUCACCUCCUGCUGUACCUACAAGGUCUCCCCGAUUCUCAUCUGCCCAUAAUCAUGGACACAGCCCCAGGAUGUGCAGGACUCUCAGGGACCAUCUGGAGUUCCAGCUGGAAUCUGGGCCUGGUGGAGUGGGAGUGGGGCAGGGGCCUGCAUUGGGCUGACUUAGAGAGCACAGUUAUUCCAUCCAUAUGGAAAUAAACAUUUUGGAUUCCUGAUC
rnacentral:lncRNA from 1 species